rnacentral:rRNA from 1 species
UACGUAGGGUGCGAGCGUUGUCCGGAAUUAUUGGGCGUAAAGGGCUCGUAGGCGGUCUGUCACGUCGGGAGUGAAAACUCGGGGCUUAACCCCGAGCCUGCUUCCGAUACGGGCAGACUAGAGGUAUGCAGGGGAGAACGGAAUUCCUGGUGUAGCGGUGAAAUGCGCAGAUAUCAGGAGGAACACCGGUGGCGAAGGCGGUUCUCUGGGCCUUACCUGACGCUGAGGCGCGAAAGCUAGGGGAGCGAACAGG